GUUGAGCAUCCCCUUCUCCUGCCCCCAUACUUUCAAAAGUCAGCGCCUGUGAGUUACAUAAAGAAAGAGCUACAGCAUUGUAUAAAAGGCCAGCUGCACUUUUGGAGUCCAGAAAGUGCAUCUGAGAAGACGAGAGCUGUGCAGAAAGAGCCGGAAGCCAGUAAGAGAAGCUAAAGACAAACUGCUGCAGAGAGAGAGAAAAGAAAGCUGGAGUAGAGCAAAACUGAUAGACCAGGAGCUGAACAACAGCAGCAGUGAUCUGAUUUUUUUAAAAGAAAGCAGCAAUGGAUUUACAGAAUUCCUGUGGAACAGACAACCAGUCAUACAAGGGCUUUGCCAUUUGGGAAAAAUCGUGAAUGUACCUUCUAUAGUAGAUGAGGAAACCUAGCUGCUUGAGAGAAACUUCAUCAGGAACAGUCCAAAAUAUGGUAGCACCAUUGCCCAGUGACACGAAGCUAAAGACAAUGGAUAUCCAUAUAUUAGAGAUGACCUCAAAACGUGGAAAUCAGAGCUGUGUAUCAAAUCUCAAUAUUGCAGUGGGGGCACCAUAUGAUGAUUUUGGCAAGGUGUUCAUAUAGCACGGACCCAAGAAUGGAAUAAAUACAAAGCCAGCACAGAACAAGCAAUCACGUUAAUUUGGCUCCAAUUACUGCUACUGCUUAAGUGGUUAUUGAAUUGCUUUUGUCACUCACUGGUAACAAGAAUUUUCAGCCAUCAUGUGAAGGGACAGAAGAGCCCUGAAGAAAACAAAUGCAGAUCUCAAAGCAAAUGACAUACAAAUGAUACCUUUUCUUCCAGUUCAAUAAAUUAUUUCUACUUGUCUUAUAGGACUCUGACAGUUCUCAGGGUAUCCAGAAC